AUAAUGGUACUUCUGUCCAGCUACAGUCCGAGCGGUAAUGAAGCAUGACUUCUAAAUCCGUCACAGGCAAUAGGGACAGCUCCGGGCGAUCCCCGGAGGGGUUAGACUCCCAUG
rnacentral:ncRNA from 1 species